rnacentral:rRNA from 1 species
GUGCCAGCAGCCGCGGUAAUACGAAGGGUGCAAGCGUUACUCGGAAUUACUGGGCGUAAAGCGUGCGUAGGUGGUUGUUUAAGUCUGUCGUGAAAGCCCUGGGCUCAACCUGGGAACUGCGAUGGAAACUGGGCGACUAGAGUGUGGUAGAGGGUAGCGGAAUUCCUGGUGUAGCAGUGAAAUGCGUAGAUAUCAGGAGGAACAUCCAUGGCGAAGGCAGCUACCUGGGCCAACACUGACACUGAGGCACGAAAGCGUGGGGAGCAAACAGGAUUAGAUACCCUGGUAGUCC